rnacentral:rRNA from 1 species
CACCAGGUUGAUUCUGCCUGACGUAUGCGCUUGUCUUGAAGAUUUAGCCAUGCAAGCCAGCGAAGCAUUUAUGUGAAGCGGCGGACAGCUCAGUAAUACAGUUAUAAUUUACUCGUAGUUAUAUACGGAUAACCUUGGUAAACUAAGGCUAAUACGUGUAUAGGUUAUUAAAAUGAGGAAACAUUAAUAACUAAAAGAUAUAUUUCUACUGCGACUAAGUUUCUGACCUAUUAGCUAGUUGGUAAGGUAAUGGCUUACCAAGGCGAUGAUGGGUAACGGAGAAUCAGAGUUCGAUUCCGGAGAGGGAGCCUGAGAAAUAGCUCCCACGUCCAAGGACGGCAGCAGGCACGAAAAUUACCCAAUUCCUUUACGGGAGAGGUGGUGAAGAGACAUGAAGUUCUACUUAAUUGCUAUAUCUUAAAAACAUAUAGUUAUUACUGGAGGGCAAGUCUGGUGCCAGCAGCCGCGGUAAUUCCAGCUCCAGUAGCGCAUAUAAUAGUUGCUGCAGUUAAAACGUCCGUAGUUGAUCAUAAUAAUACUGUGAGAAAAUUAUAGUACUCAAAGCUAUAAUUUAGCAUGGGACAUUGUGAAUAUGGGAACAGAUGAUGGCAAUAGUAUUCAGCAGUAAGAGGUGAAAAUUGAUGACCUGCUGAGGACUACCGGAAGCGAAGGCGAUUGUCAAGUAUGUCUCCGUUAAUAAAGGACUUAAGCUAGAUUAUCGAAGAUGAUUAGAUACCGUCGUAGUUCUAGCUGUAAACGAUGCCGACUAGGUGAGGCUGAGAGGCUGUACCUUAGGAGAAAUCAAAGUCUACGGGCUCUGGGGAUAGUAUCGAGGCAACUCUGAAACUUAAAGAAAUUGACGGAAGGACACCACAAGGAGUGGAUUGUGCGGCUUAAUUUGACUCAACGCGGGACAACUUACCAGGACCGAACUUAUAUGAGAAUGUCAUUCUGAGAAGAAUCACAUGAUAAUAAGGAAGGUAGUGCAUGGCCGUUUUCAACACGUGGGGUGACCUGUCUGGUUAAUUCCGACAACGCGUGAGGCCCCAGCUAUAACUCUAUGUUAUAGGACGGAUAGUGGCAAACUAUAGGAAGUGGGGCUAUAACAGGUCAGUGAUGCUCCUAGAUGCUCUGGGCUGCACGCGCAAUACAAUAGUGUAUGAAAAAUAUAUUUUCGAAAGAAAUAGUUAUAAUAUACAUUAUAGUUGGGAUAAGCUCUUGUAAAUGAGUUUUGAACGAGGAAUUCCUAGUAAUCGCAAGUCAUUAAGUUGCGAUGAAUGCGUCCCUGUUCUUUGUACACACCGCCCGUCGCUAUCUAAGAUGGAUGUAUUGGUGAAAUGGCUGGAAUGUAACAGUGAAGGCAGUUGAACCUGUGCAACUAAAUAAGAUAUAAGUCGUAACAAGGUAACC